rnacentral:rRNA from 1 species
AGGUCGCUAGGAUCCCUUCGGGGUGACUUUGAUGCUGACGAGCGGCGGACGGGUGAGUAACGCGUAGGAAUCUACCCAGUAGGCGGGGAUACGCCCGGGGAAACCCGGAUUAAUACCGCAUACGCCCGUACGGGGAAGGGGGGGAACUCUUCGGAGACCUCUCACUAUUGGAGGAGCCUGCGUUGGAUUAGCUUGUUGGUGAGGUAAAGGCUCACCAAGGCGACGAUCCAUAGCUGGUCUGAGAGGACGAUCAGCCACACUGGAACUGAGACACGGUCCAGACUCC